rnacentral:rRNA from 1 species
UACAGAGGGUGCAAGUGUUGUUCGGAAUCAUUGGGCGUAAAGGGCGCGUAGGCGGUCAGAUAAGUUAGAUGUGAAAGCCCUGGGCUUAACUCAGGAAAUGCAUUUGAUACUGUCUGACUAGAGUUCGGUAGAGGAUAGUGGAAUUCCCGGUGUAGAGGUGAAAUUCGUAGAUAUCGGGAGGAACACCAGUGGCGAGAGCGGCUAUCUGGGCCGACACUGACGCUGAGGCGCGAAAGCGUGGGGAGCAAACAGG